rnacentral:RNase_P_RNA from 1 species
AGAGAGGACUGGACGGUCGCCGGUUUGGCUCGCAAGGGUCAGACGGGAGGAAAGUCCGGGCGUCGUAGGACAGGGUGGUGGGUAACGCCCACCGGUCGUGAGACCAGGGAAAGUGCAACAGAAAGUAAACCGCCGCGCAAGCGGUAAGGGUGAAACGGUGCGGUAAGAGCGCACCAGCAGGCGGGGCGACUCGUCUGGCUUGGUAAACCCCGCCCGACGCAAGGCCAAACAGGGAGCAGAAUCGGUCCGAUUCGUUACGACUUCCGGGUAGGCUGCUAGAGGCGGCGAGCAAUCGUCGUCGUAGAGGAAUGAUCGUCGCGCGGCGCAAGCCGCGUACAAAACCCGGCUUAUAGGUCCUCUCUUACG